rnacentral:rRNA from 1 species
UACGUAGGGUGCGAGCGUUAAUCGGAAUUACUGGGCGUAAAGCGUGCGCAGGCGGUUCGACAAGUCUGAUGUGAAAUCCCCGGGCUCAACCUGGGAACUGCGUUGGAAACUGUCGGGCUAGAGUGUAGGUAGGGGUCUGUGGAACUUCCGGUGGAGCGGUGAAAUGCGUUGAUAUCGGAAGGAACGCCGGUGGCGAAAGCGACGGACUGGACCUCUUCUGACGCUGAGGCGCGAAAGCCA